rnacentral:rRNA from 1 species
AGAGUUUGAUCAUGGCUCAGGAUGAACGCUAGCUACAGGCUUAACACAUGCAAGUCGAGGGGCAGCAUGGUCUUAGCUUGCUAAGGCCGAUGGCGACCGGCGCACGGGUGAGUAACGCGUAUCCAACCUGCCUUACACUCUUGGACAGCCUCUGAAAGGGAGAUUAAUACAAGAUGUUAUCAUGAGUAAGCAUUUUCGCAUGAUUAAAGGUUUACCGGUGUAAGAUGGGGAUGCGUUCCAUUAGAUAGCAGGCGGGGUAACGGCCCACCUAGUCUUCGAUGGAUAGGGGUUCUGAGAGGAAGGUCCCCCACAUUGGAACUGAGACACGGUCCAAACUCCUACGGGAGGCAGAA